UGAGGAACAUGACCUUCGGCGGGGGAUAGCCGGCCCAACGGCCGGGUAAUACCGCGUACGACCACAUGGGGACAUCCCUGAGUGGUGAAAGCAGCAAUACGCCGAUGGAGUGCCUCGCGGCCUAUCAGCUAGUUGGUGAGGUAACGGCUCACCAAGGCAACGGACGGGUAGCCGGUCUGAGAGGAUGAUCAGCCACACUGGAACUGAGACACGGUCCAGACUCCGUAGGAGG
rnacentral:rRNA from 1 species